rnacentral:rRNA from 1 species
UGGGGAAUAUUGGACAAUGGGGGGAACCCUGAUCCAGCCAUGCCGCGUGUGUGAAGAAGGCCUUUUGGUUGUAAAGCACUUUAAGCGAGGAGGAGGCUCUUCUAGUUAAUACCUAGGAUGAGUGGACGUUACUCGCAGAAUAAGCACCGGCUAACUCUGUGCCAGCAGCCGCGGUAAUACAGAGGGUGCGAGCGUUAAUCGGAUUUACUGGGCGUAAAGCGUGCGUAGGCGGCUGAUUAAGUCGGAUGUGAAAUCCCUGAGCUUAACUUAGGAAUUGCAUUCGAUACUGGUCAGCUAGAGUAUGGGAGAGGAUGGUAGAAUUCCAGGUGUAGCGGUGAAAUGCGUAGAGAUCUGGAGGAAUACCGAUGGCGAAGGCAGCCAUCUGGCCUAAUACUGACGCUGAGGUACGAAAGCAUGGGGAGCAAACA